CAGCUACUUCCUCCGUCCGAAAAUACUUGUCAUCAAAAUGGAUAAAAAAAGAUGUAUCUAGAACUAAUAUACAUCUAGAUAAAUCCCCUUCCAUUCAUUUUGAUGACAAGUACUUCCGGACGGAGGGAAUACAAC
rfam:Triticum aestivum genome assembly, contig: Triticum_aestivum_CS42_TGACv1_scaffold_404617_5BL